rnacentral:rRNA from 1 species
CAAGUAUUAGAGGUCUCGCCUGCCCAGUGAAACAUAUUUCAACGGCCGCGGUAUCAUAACCGUGCAAAGGUAGCGUAAUCACUUGCCCCCUAAUUAGGGGCCUGUAUGAAUGGCCAACUGAGAACACCCCUGUCUUUUAGAGCAAAAUAAUGAAACUGAUCUCCAGGUACAAAAGCCUGGAUCCACCCAUAAGACGAGAAGACCCCGUGGAGCUUUAAAUGUACCUGCUACCUCACCCCUAGCAGUACCUUUUAGUUGGGGCAACUGUGGAGAAAAACAAAACCUCCACGUAAAACUACCAUCACUACAGGCCCACAAGCCACCAAGCAAUCUUGACCCAGUACAACUGAUCAACGAACCAAGUUACCCCGGGGAUAACAGCGCCAUCCUCUUUAAGAGCCCCUAUCGCCAAGAGGGAUUACGACCUCGAUGUUGGAUCAGGACAUCCUAGUGGCGCAGUCGCUACUAAAGGUCUGUUUGUUCAACAGUUAAA